rnacentral:rRNA from 1 species
AUUGAACGCUGGCGGCAGGCCUAACACAUGCAAGUCGAACGAGUGGCGGACGGGUGAGUAAUGUCUGGGAAACUGCCUGAUGGAGGGGGAUAACCACUGGAAACGGUAGCUAAUACCGCAUACCCUCGGAUGUGCCCAGAUGGGAUUAGCGAGUGGGUGGGGUAAAGGCUCACCUGGGCGACGAUCCCUAGCUGGUCUGAGAGGAUGACCGGCCACACUGGAACUGAGACACGGUCCAAACCCCUACGGGAGGCAGCAGUGGGGAAUAUUGCACAAUGGGCGAAAGCCUGAUGCAGCCAUGCCGCGUGUAUGAAGAAGGCCUUCGGGUUGUAAAGUACUUUCAGCGGGGAGGCGUUACCCGCAGAGGAAGCACCGGCUAACUCCGUGCCAGCAGCCGCGGUAAUAC